UCCCAUGUAGCUUAGUUGGUAAAGAAUCUGCCUGAAAUGCUGGAGACCUGGGUUUGAUUCCUGGGUUGGGAA
rnacentral:tRNA from 1 species